GGGUUGUGAGGUUAAGCGACUAAGCGUACACGGUGGAUGCCCUGGCAGUCAGAGGCGAUGAAGGGCGUGCUAAUCUGCGAUAAGCGCCGGUAAGGUGAUAUGAACCGUUAUAACCGGCGAUACCCGAAUGGGGAAACCCAGUGUGAUUCGUCACACUAUCAUUAACUGAAUCCAUAGGUUAAUGAGGCGAACCGGGGGAACUGAAACAUCUAAGUACCCCGAGGAAAAGAAAUCAACCGAGAUUCCCCCAGUAGCGGCGAGCGAACGGGGAGGAGCCCAGAGCCUGAAUCAGCAUGUGUGUUAGUGGAAGCGUCUGGAAAGGCGCGCGAUACAGGGUGACAGCCCCGUACACAAAAGCGCAUGUGCUGUGAGCUCGAUGAGUAGGGCGGGACACGUGGUAUCCUGUCUGAAUAUGGGGGGACCAUCCUCCAAGGCUAAAUACUCCUGACUGACCGAUAGUGAACCAGUACCGUGAGGGAAAGGCGAAAAGAACCCCGGCGAGGGGAGUGAAAAAGAACCUGAAACCGUGUACGUACAAGCAGUGGGAGCACAGGUUUACCUGUGUGACUGCGUACCUUUUGUAUAAUGGGUCAGCGACUUAUAUUCUGUAGCAAGGUUAACCGAAUAGGGGAGCCGGAGGGAAACCGAGUCUUAAUUGGGCGUUAAGUUGCAGGGUAUAGACCCGAAACCCGGUGAUCUAGCCAUGGGCAGGUUGAAGGUUGGGUAACACUAACUGGAGGACCGAACCGACUAAUGUUGAAAAAUUAGCGGAUGACCUGUGGCUGGGGGUGAAAGGCCAAUCAAACCGGGAGAUAGCUGGUUCUCCCCGAAAGCUAUUUAGGUAGCGCCUCGUGAAUUCAUCUCCGGGGGUAGAGCACUGUUUCGGCUAGGGGGCCAUCCCGGCUUACCAACCCGAUGCAAACUGCGAAUACCGGAGAAUGUUAUCACGGGAGACACACGGCGGGUGCUAACGUCCGUCGUGAAGAGGGAAACAACCCAGACCGCCAGCUAAGGUCCCAAAGUCAUGGUUAAGUGGGAAACGAUGUGGGAAGGCCCAGACAGCCAGGAUGUUGGCUUAGAAGCAGCCAUCAUUUAAAGAAAGCGUAAUAGCUCACUGGUCGAGUCGGCCUGCGCGGAAGAUGUAACGGGGCUAAACCAUGCACCGAAGCUGCGGCAGCGAACGUAUCACUUAAAGCGAUUCAGCGGGUUACGAUUGACGGAGCGAAGCGACGUCAAAGCGUAUACAAAGUCGAGUCGGUUUAAGGAUACGUUCGUUGGGUAGGGGAGCGUUCUGUAAGCCUGUGAAGGUGGCCUGUGAGGGUUGCUGGAGGUAUCAGAAGUGCGAAUGCUGACAUAAGUAACGAUAAAGCGGGUGAAAAGCCCGCUCGCCGGAAGACCAAGGGUUCCUGUCCAACGUUAAUCGGGGCAGGGUGAGUCGACCCCUAAGGCGAGGCCGAAAGGCGUAGUCGAUGGGAAACGGGUUAAUAUUCCCGUACUUGGUGUUACUGCGAAGGGGGGACGGAGAAGGCUAUGUUGGCCGGGCGACGGUUGUCCCGGUUUAAGCGUGUAGGUGUGUGUUCCAGGUAAAUCCGGUUCACUUUAACACUGAGGCGUGACGACGAGGCACUACGGUGCUGAAGCAACAAAUGCCCUGCUUCCAGGAAAAGCCUCUAAGCAUCAGGUAACAUCAAAUCGUACCCCAAACCGACACAGGUGGUCAGGUAGAGAAUACCAAGGCGCUUGAGAGAACUCGGGUGAAGGAACUAGGCAAAAUGGUGCCGUAACUUCGGGAGAAGGCACGCUGACACGUAGGUGAAGUGAUUUACUCACGGAGCUGAAGUCAGUCGAAGAUACCAGCUGGCUGCAACUGUUUAUUAAAAACACAGCACUGUGCAAACACGAAAGUGGACGUAUACGGUGUGACGCCUGCCCGGUGCCGGAAGGUUAAUUGAUGGGGUCAGCGCAAGCGAAGCUCCUGAUCGAAGCCCCGGUAAACGGCGGCCGUAACUAUAACGGUCCUAAGGUAGCGAAAUUCCUUGUCGGGUAAGUUCCGACCUGCACGAAUGGCGUAAUGAUGGCCAGGCUGUCUCCACCCGAGACUCAGUGAAAUUGAACUCGCUGUGAAGAUGCAGUGUACCCGCGGCAAGACGGAAAGACCCCGUGAACCUUUACUAUAGCUUGACACUGAACAUUGAGCCUUGAUGUGUAGGAUAGGUGGGAGGCUUUGAAGCGUGGACGCCAGUCUGCGUGGAGCCGACCUUGAAAUACCACCCUUUAAUGUUUGAUGUUCUAACGUGGACCCGUAAUCCGGGUUGCGGACAGUGUCUGGUGGGUAGUUUGACUGGGGCGGUCUCCUCCUAAAGAGUAACGGAGGAGCACGAAGGUUGGCUAAUCCUGGUCGGACAUCAGGAGGUUAGUGCAAUGGCAUAAGCCAGCUUGACUGCGAGCGUGACGGCGCGAGCAGGUGCGAAAGCAGGUCAUAGUGAUCCGGUGGUUCUGAAUGGAAGGGCCAUCGCUCAACGGAUAAAAGGUACUCCGGGGAUAACAGGCUGAUACCGCCCAAGAGUUCAUAUCGACGGCGGUGUUUGGCACCUCGAUGUCGGCUCAUCACAUCCUGGGGCUGAAGUAGGUCCCAAGGGUAUGGCUGUUCGCCAUUUAAAGUGGUACGCGAGCUGGGUUUAGAACGUCGUGAGACAGUUCGGUCCCUAUCUGCCGUGGGCGCUGGAGAACUGAGGGGGGCUGCUCCUAGUACGAGAGGACCGGAGUGGACGCAUCACUGGUGUUCGGGUUGUCAUGCCAAUGGCACUGCCCGGUAGCUAAAUGCGGAAGAGAUAAGUGCUGAAAGCAUCUAAGCACGAAACUUGCCCCGAGAUGAGUUCUCCCUGAGACUUAGAGUCUCCUGAAGGAACGUUGAAGACGACGACGUUGAUAGGCCGGGUGUGUAAGCGCAGCGAUGCGUUGAGCUAACCGGUACUAAUGAACCGUGAGGCUUAACCUUACAACGCCGAAG
rnacentral:rRNA from 1 species